rnacentral:rRNA from 1 species
AGCGAACGCUGGCGGCAGGCUUAACACAUGCAAGUCGAGCGGGCCCUUCGGGGUCAGCGGCAGACGGGUGAGUAACGCGUGGGAACGUACCCUUUGGUUCGGAAUAACUCAGGGAAACUUGAGCUAAUACCGGAUACGCCCUUUUUGGGGAAAGGGUUGCUGCCGAAGGCUCGGCCCGCGUCUGAUUAGCUUGGUGGUGAGGUUAUGGCUCACCAAGGCGACGAUCAGUAGCUGGUCUGAGAGGAUGAUCAGCCACACUGGGACUGAGACACGGCCCAGACUCCUACGGGAGGCAGCAGUGGGGAAUAUUGGACAAUGGGGGCAACCCUGAUCCAGCCAUGCCGCGUGAGUGAUGACGGCCUUAGGGUUGUAAAGCUCUUUUCUCCGGGACGAUAAUGACGGUACCGGAGGAAUAAGCCCCGGCUAACUUCGUGCCAGCCGCCGCCGUAA